CAAGUCUAACACAUGCAAGUCAAGGGGCACUUCGGUGCCACUGGCGCACGGGUGAGUAACACGUAGGUUAUCUGCCCCCAUCACAGUGACAACCUCGGGAAACCGAGGCUAAACACUGAUGAGGCCGAGAGGUCAAAGCGAAAGCGGAUGGGGAUGAGCCUGCGGCUGAUUAGCUAGUUGGUGAGGUAAUGGCUCACCAAGGCGACGAUCAGUAGCUGGUCUGAGAGGACGAACAGCCACACUGGAACUGAGACACGGUCCAGACUCCUACGGGAGGCAGCAGUGAGGAAUAUUGGUCAAUGGGCGCAAGCCUGAACCAGCAAUGCCGCGUGUGGGACGACGGGGCUUCGCCUUGUAAACCACUGUCGGAUGGGACGAGAGGGAGUAAGAACUCCUGGGACGGUACCAUCAAAGGAAGGGUCGGCUAACUACGUGCCAGCAGCCGCGGUAAUACGUAGGACCCAAGCGUUGUCCGGAUUUACUGGGUAUAAAGGGUGCGUAGGCGGUCUUGUGCGUCAGAGGUGAAAUAUCCGGGCUUAACCCGGAGGGUGCCUUUGAUACGGCAGGACUUGAGUGCGAGAGAGGAUGAUGGAAUUCCUGGUGUAGCGGUGAAAUGCGUAGAUAUCAGGAGGAACACCGGUGGCGAAGGCGGUCAUCUGGCUCGUAACUGACGCUGAGGCACGAAAGCGCGGGGAUCAAACAGGAUUAGAUACCCUGGUAGUCCGCGCCCUAAACGAUGUAUGCUUGGUGUUGGGCUCGCAAGAGCUCAGUGCCGUAGGGAAUCUGAUAAGCAUACCACCUGGGGAGUACGAUCGCAAGGUUGAAACUCAAAGGAAUUGACGG
rnacentral:rRNA from 1 species